rnacentral:rRNA from 1 species
GACAGAGGUCCCGAGCGUUAGACGGAAUCACUGGGCUUAAAGCGUGUGUAGGCGGAAGGGUAAGUACCUUGUGAAAUCCCACGGCUCAACCGUGGAACUGCUUGGUAUACUGCUUUUCUUGAGCCACUUAGGGGCAACCGGAACAAAUGGUGGAGCGGUGAAAUGCGUAGAUAUCUGGAGGAAUACCGGUGGCGAAGGCGGCAUCCUGGACCGACAUUGACGCUGAUGAGCGAAAGCUAGGGGAGCAAACGGG